rnacentral:rRNA from 1 species
AGAGUUUGAUCCUGGCUCAGGAUGAACGCUAGCGGCAGGCCUAACACAUGCAAGUCGAGGGGCAGCACGAUUGAGCUUGCUUAAUUGGUGGCGACCGGCGCACGGGUGCGUAACGCGUAUGCAACCUACCUUAUACUGGGGUAUAGCCCGGAGAAAUUCGGAUUAAUCCCCCAUAGCAUUAUCGAUUCGCAUGUUUUGAUAAUUAAAGGUUACGGUAUAAGAUGGGCAUGCGUCCCAUUAGCUAGAUGGUGAGGUAACGGCUCACCAUGGCGACGAUGGGUAGGGGGCCUGAGAGGGUGGUCCCCCACACUGGUACUGAGACACGGACCAGACUCCUACGGGAGGCAGCAGUGAGGAAUAUUGGUCAAUGGGCGCAAGCCUGAACCAGCCAUGCCGCGUGCAGGAAGACGGUCCUAUGGAUUGUAAACUGCUUUUAUUCGGGAAUAAACCUCUUUACGUGUAGAGAGCUGAAGGUACCGAAUGAAUAAGCACCGGCUAACUCCGUGCCAGCAGCCGCGGUAAU